rnacentral:lncRNA from 1 species
CGGUGGAGGAGCCGUAGUGAAGUUCCUGUCGGCGACUCCUGCCGCCUCCCUCUGCACAUUCCGCCAACGCCACCACAUCUUCGUUUCAAACGACGGCGUCGCCCAAGCCCAGCCUCCAGAUCUCGGCCUUCUCCUCGUUUGCAUAAGAUCUAUUUUUUUUUUUUCGUUUCUUUAUUUUUAUUUUUAUUUUUUUUGUUUUGAUAGUAUCAUAUUGUAGAUCUAUUUUGUAGAUCUAUGAAUAUCAUUUGAAAAGAAUAAGUUUUUUUUCCUGCUAAGCUUUUUUUUUUAAUAUUGCAUAAGAUCUUUAUUUUUGUAGCCA